rnacentral:misc_RNA from 1 species
GAUGAAGAACGUAGCGAAAUGCGAUAAGUAAUGUGAAUUGCAGAAUUCAGUGAAUCAUCGAAUCUUUGAACGCACAUUGCGCCCGCCAGUAUUCUGGCGGGCAUGCCUGUUCGAGCGUCAUUUCAACCCUCAGGCCCCCAGUGCCUGGUGUUGGGGAUCGGCCCAGCCUUCCUGUAAGGCCGCCGGCCCCGAAAUCUAGUGGCGGUCUCGCUGUAGUCCUCCUCUGCGUAGUAGCACAACCUCGCAGUUGGAACGCGGCGGUGGCCAUGCCGUUAAACACCCCACUUCUGAAAGUUGACCUCGGAUCAGGUAGGAAUACCCGCUGAACUUAAGCAUAUCAAUCAGCGGAGGA